rnacentral:lncRNA from 1 species
GGGGUCUUCCGGAGCCUCCGGUCGCGGGUCUAAGAGGACUAGGGCGGGAGCGGCGCGGAAGAAAGAGAGGACUGCGUUUUGGGGCGUUCUGUCAGAGGGGAAGGACGUGUGGAUUGGAGUCAGACUGCACUCCCGCCCUAUUUCUGCAAGUAGAACUCACUGCCUUUAGAAACGGUCUUCUGAGGCUCUGUUGGGAGGCUCUAACUGUAUUACAGAGGACACAUUUUUGUUUGUUUUUAUGUGAAACAUUCAGAAGUUGCUUGCAUCAAGUGCUUUACAAGUACACUGGUUUUCAAACUUUUAAAGUUGAGGAACUGUUUUGAUUUUUGUAAAAAUAGAACUUUACUUGGAAGCCCAAGGUCGCUUAGAAACUAGUACUCUCAGAACAUGGAGUGGAAGAGGUGAUCAUGGUAGCAACAGACUGAGGAGUGAAUUUGAACUUGAGUUUUGUCUUGCUGUUUUUCAUUGAUGGAACCCAACUGGAAAUCAGAAUAC